rnacentral:rRNA from 1 species
UACGAAGGGGGCUAGCGUUGCUCGGAAUCACUGGGCGUAAAGCGCAUGUAGGCGGCUUUGUAAGUCUGAUGUGAAAUCCCUGGACUCAAUUCAGGAACUGCAUUGGAUACUGCAAGGCUAGAGUACGGGAGAGGUAGGUGGAAUUCCUGGUGUAGAGGUGAAAUUCGUAGAUAUCAGGAGGAACAACAGAGGCGAAGGCGACUUACUGGACCGUAACUGACGCUGAGAUGCGACAGUGUGGGGAGCAAACAGG